rnacentral:rRNA from 1 species
ACGGGACCCCGCACAAGCGGUGGAUCAUGUUGUUUGAUUCGACGAUACGCGAAGAACCUUACCAGGUCUUGACAUCCCCUGCAAAGCUAUGGAGACAUAGUGGAGGUUAUCAGGGAGACAGGUGGUGCAUGGUUGUCGUCAGCUCGUGUCGUGAGAUGUUGGGUUAAGUCCCGCAACGAGCGCAACCCUUAUUGCUAGUUACCAUCAUUAAGUUGGGGACUCUAGCGAGACUGCCAGUGAUAAACUGGAGGAAGGUGGGGAUGACGUCAAAUCAUCAUGCCCCUUAUGACCUGGGCUACAAACGUGAUACAAUGGCUGAAACAAAGGGCAGCGAAGGAGCGAUCUGGAGCGAAACCCAAAAAGCAGUCUCAGUUCGGAUUGAGGUCUGCAACUCGACUUCAUGAAGUCGGAAUCGCUAGUAAUCGCGGAUCAGAACGCCGCGGUGAAUACGUUCUCGGGGUUU